AUUGUUAAUAUAACACAUUCCUUCCUUGAAAUCAACGUGGUCCCACGGCCAAAAUCUUAGAUCAUUUCAUUUCUCCGAACCGCCGAAUAUAAACAGAAGUCACACUCGUGUGGUCCGAUAACGCCAAGCGUUCUAGAAUGUUCCUCAAGGGCCCGCGACGCAAUAUAAAAUUGUAAUAGAAAUUGUCUUUGUAACAGUACAAAAUUAUAUAAAUUACCCAUAGUAUUUCUUUAUACCGUUAUUAUGAAUACGCACACGUCAAUCAGUUCCACAAUAGUUACAGUACCGAGCGCGAUUUAACUUUAAUAAUUGUAAAACGAAAUAGAUAAUGUUUCAUUCUAAAUUUUUAUAAUGUGUACAGAUUAACACUUUAUAUUGUAUUAGUUAUGUAUGUAAAAUUAUUCAAUAGCUAAUUUACAAUCCAUAGCUCAAGAGUAAAGGAAAGAACUAUAUGUAUAGAAAGAGAGGAAGAUAAGAGCUGGACAAGGGAGGAACACAUGCACCCACCAUCACCACCUAAUUAACGAAUCACGGUCUCUUACGCAUUGGCCUCGCAGCCUAAUUCGUUAGUCGCAUAUCAAUGCAACAUAAACAAUUUCGGACUAGGCCCACUCUGGUCUUCUCCGAGAGGUGCAAGUUGCGACACUCUUCGGUGUAUAAUCGCGA